CCCCCCUCACCCCACACGGACAAACAUAUCCAGCUCGCGUGCCCUUUGGACACACGGACACACGGACAGGGACACACAGACACUCUGUGUGGCAGCCCCCGGUGAGGGACUGGGACCUGCCGACCCUUUGCGCAACAAAGGGCCCGAGGACCUGUGGCCUGGCCAGCUGAGGGACACUCGGGGACAGCGGGAGCUGAGCGUUCCAGGCUUUGGACACAGCCGGUUAUUGCAUCAAGAUUAAAUCAUUUCAAGGACUGAGGCGUCUGAGACUCUGCGAUGGGAAGGCUGGGACUGAGCUGGAGGACGAUCUGCAGAGUCCUGCCCGAGCAGGAGAGGGGCUGUGGUGCCUGAUGGUUUGUACGGCCCCUCUGGGGAGAAGGGAAGGAAAAGGCUUUUGCUACUUUAAAAAAAAAAAAAAAGUAAAUGAGAAAAUGGUUUUAAAGCUCUGUUGUGAUUUUACGGAGGUUGAGGGUUCAGCCCCUUGGAUCUGCAGAGGAUUUUGGCACUUAAUGCCCUGCACUCCAGGUAUAAAAUUCCUGGGCCAAUCAACUAAACCUCUGGGUGAGGCAAACAAGGACUAUCAGUUAGGUGAGGAAAAGGAGAAGAGGCUGCAGGCAGAGGGGCUGCUGAGUUUGAUUGGGUUGGAAAGGUUCAGGCAGAGCUUUGGGAUGUGCACGAGAGAGAGAGAGAAAAUCUUAUGGGAAAAAUUGCAGGAUGGAGAACCCGUAACAUCUUCAGAAACAGUCUUGUAACUCAGAAUUUUCCUGUCUAGUGCAGGAGUUGAGUGAAUGGGUCUUUUGUUCUGACAAAGAGCAAGACAGUAACGUUUGCACUGACAUCUGAUGACGAGGAAGUGACAUUACGACCCUUCAUUAAAACUGGUGAUUGUUGGGGUCACUAAACUGCCACUAAACCAGAGCCAUCUGCCAAAUCUCAGCCUCAGCAACCCAAAGAUCAAAGUUGGCCAGUAAAUCAGGGGAGCCUGAAAUCCAGCAAGUGGAAUCCCAUCAAUGCACCCCAUACAUUUGGACUCCUGUUGGUCCUGGCCAGCAAUUAAUAACAUUUCUAAUAGAUCCUGGAAUGCAACAUUCAGUAUUAACGCAGUGGGGGGGGCUGAGGAGCCCUGUGUGUGACCCAGGCAGCAAAGAGUUAAAAUCACUGGAGUAAACAGAGCAAGUGUUAUCUGCCUAAAAUCACUGGAGUAAACAGAGCAAGUGUUAUCUGCCGAGCUGCUGAGCUCAGUUUAUGGCUCCUGGGUGAGAAGUGAAGUCUUAACCCUAAAGGAAAUCCAGAGCCUGCAGCGUGCUGCUGCAAUCCCUGGCUCGGGGAUUGCUGGGGUAUCUCAGAGCUGGAUUUUUGCUGCAGCACGAAAUGGAAUUUCUGAAGUUGUGGCUGAUUUGGCUCCUCUAAGAGCUGCAGAACCCAACACCACAACCCAACAGCCACCCACGUGCCUGGGCAGUGGUGGGGGUCUCACAGUCCCCCUCGAAUUCUCCUGUCUGGGCAGUUUUUUACAGGCAGUUAAAUGCCAGUGCUGCACCUUUAACCGCUGCUGUGACAAAUCUGGUGGAGGUGGUCACUCAGAUUCAGAGUGUCCUGCUCAUGGAUGGCAACCCAAGAUGUGAAAGAUGAGUCUUGUACGAUUCCCUGCUGGAAACAGGACAGGGCUGGAUUGGUGCUUGCCUGGAAGGGAGGGCAGGACACCUUUAUCAGAGCCCACAGGGGCACAAACCUUCACCACAGCACAGGCUGCACUUGUGGAACUCUCACAAGCAGCCUCACUCCCUCAGGGCGUGGAAUUCAUGGGAGGAGACCCCCCUGGAAAGGCGGGGGAAGCAACAACAGCAGCGAAGCAAAGGGUUCAUGAAACAGAAGCUGAGGUUCCACCUGAGAGGCACCAAGUCCAGGCUGUUGAACUCGAGCCACUCAGGGGGAACCUGCCCGGCCCCCCCGAGAACCGUGGGGGUUGAUUUUUCCAGGGAUGAACCAGCACAGCCCCACUGAAGGUCCAAGGUCAGCCCUGAGGGUGACCCCCCUCAGGAGCCCAACACUUGGGUCCUACCAGCCCCGAGGGGGACCCAGCCAGAGGAUUUGUGUGACACAGGAACCAGGAAAGCCAGGGAGAGGUGAGAGUCCCUCUGCCUCGGGCCCUUUUGACUUCUGGGUUUCUUUUGUGGUACUGAACCAGCACCGAUGGAUUGUUCCUUCUAUUUAAUAAUUGGUCUGUAGUGGGCAAAACUUUCACUUUUUGUUUAACAGGAACCUUCUAACAGAUGACAUCGAGCUGUGUGGAACUGCUGAAACCUUUAACUGCCCCCAUAACUGCCUGUAUUAUCAGUUUAUUAAUUUUUGUGCCUUUUUUGCGUUAUUAAUAUCACCUUGUUGAGGACCAAAUAUUAGUCAGAUUUUGUAAGACAGACCACUAUAUGUAUUCCUUGUUUGAUUUUUGCUAAGUUUAUCUUGUCUUUUUACU